UACGGAGGGUGCAAGCGUUAUCCGGAUUCACUGGGUUUAAAGGGUGCGUAGGCGGGCGGAUAAGUCUGUGGUGAAAUCUCUGAGCUUAACUCGGAAACUGCCAUGGAUACUAUUUGUCUUGAAUGUUGUGGAGGUGAGCGGAAUAUGUCAUGUAGCGGUGAAAUGCUUAGAUAUGACAUAGAACACCAAUUGCGAAGGCAGCUCACUACACAAAUAUUGACGCUGAGGCACGAAAGCGUGGGGAUCAAACAGGAUUAGAUACCCUGGUAGUCCACGCCCUAAACGAUGGAUACUCGACAUACGCGAUACACAGUGUGUGUCUGAGCGAAAGCAUUAAGUAUCCCACCUGGGAAGUACGAUCGCAAGAUUGAA
rnacentral:rRNA from 1 species